rnacentral:rRNA from 1 species
UGGGGAAUAUUGCGCAAUGGCCGAAAGGCUGACGCAGCGACGCCGCGUGGGGGAUGAAGCAUUUCGGUGUGUAAACCCCUGUUGCCCGGGACGAACAAGCAGAUUUUUCUGCUCUGACGGUACCGGGUGAGGAAGCACCGGCUAACUCCGUGCCAGCAGCCGCGGUAAUACGGAGGGUGCGAGCGUUGUCCGGGAUCACUGGGCGUAAAGGGCGCGUAGGCGGUCUGCUAAGCGUGCGGUGAAAGCCCGGGGCUCAACCCCGGGUCUGCCGUGCGAACGGGUGGACGAGAGCACUGUAGAGGCAGGUGGAAUUCCGGGUGUAGCGGUGGAAUGCGUAGAGAUCCGGAAGAACACCGGUGGCGAAGGCGGCCUGCUGGGCAGUAGCUGACGCUGAGGCGCGACAGCGUGGGGAGCAAACA